GACGAACGCUGGCGGCGUGCUUAACACAUGCAAGUCGAACGGUGAACGAGGGAGCUUGCUCCCUCCGGAUCAGUGGCGAACGGGUGAGUAACACGUGAGCAAUCUGCCCCGAACUCUGGGAUAAGCGUUGGAAACGACGUCUAAUACCGGAUACGACGCGGGAGGGCAUCCUCUCCGCGUGGAAAGAACUUCGGUUCGGGAUGAGCUCGCGGCCUAUCAGCUUGUUGGUGAGGUAACGGCUCACCAAGGCGACGACGGGUAGCCGGCCUGAGAGGGUGACCGGCCACACUGGGACUGAGACACGGCCCAGACUCCUACGGGAGGCAGCAGUGGGGAAUAUUGCACAAUGGGCGCAAGCCUGAUGCAGAAACGCCGCGUGAGGGACGACGGCCUUCGGGUUGUAAACCUCUUUUAGCAGGGAAGAAGCGAAAGUGACGGUACCUGCAGAAAAAGCACCGGCUAACUACGUG
rnacentral:rRNA from 1 species